UCGCGACCCCAGGUCAGGCGGGACUACCCGCUGAGUUUAAGUAUAUCAAUAAGCGGAGGAGA
rnacentral:rRNA from 1 species